rnacentral:rRNA from 1 species
GACGAACGCUGGCGGCGUGCUUAACACAUGCAAGUCGAACGGACUACUUUGCUUCGGUAAGGUGGUUAGUGGCGAACGGGUGAGUAACGCGUAGACAACCUACCUCUUAGAUGGGGACAACAUCGCGAAAGCGGUGCUAAUACCGAAUGAAGUGACUUUCCUGCAUGGGAGAGAUACUAAAGGUGGCCUCUAUUUAUAAGCUAACACUGAGAGAUGGGUCUGCGUCUGAUUAGCUAGUUGGCGGGGUAACGGCCCACCAAGGCGACGAUCAGUAGCCGGGCUGAGAGGAUGAACGGCCACAUUGGGACUGAGACACGGCCCAAACUCCUACGGGAGGCAGCAGUGGGGAAUCUUCCGCAAUGGACGAAAGUCUGACGGAGCAACGCCGCGUGAGUGAAGAAGGUUUUCGGAUCGUAAAGCUCUGUUGUUUGAGACGAAUGUGCCUGUUUCGAAUAGGGAUAGGUAAUGACGGUAUUAAACGAGAAAGCCACGGCUAACUACGUGCCAGCCGCCGCCGUAA